GCGUGGGAUAUGUAAAGAAUAGUGUAGUCUAGUUGUUUUGAUUUUGACUUGUACUCACGCUAUUACUCGAAUCGAACGUUUAGUAUCUAAAUUGUGUACACCUUGAACCAGUUUGGGUAUAUUGAGACUUUGUAUCUUAAUUGUGUAUCAAUGUAAAUUAUAAGUUGGAAUCGUGAUAUUGUUAUAGUCCAUGGUUGUAUGCAUGUGAUACGAGUGAGUGAGUCCUGGCGAGAGUUGGGCAGGUGGUCCGCCGAACCCUUUGGUACGCCCUAGGGUAAGGUGGGGUCGUCACAAUUGGUAUCUCACGAGCGUAAUCUCACCCUCGUUACUUUUGUUUUCCUUACAGGAACAUCCUUUGGAAUCAUGUUUUGAAACAAGUUGAGCUAGCUAGGCAUUCUUUUGUUCGUAUAGUUCCUCGUUGGAUUUAGGGUUUGGUUUUUGGCAAACCCUAAUUGUAACCGAAUCGAUUGAACACUUUCUUUUGUUUGGUAUUUGUAAAACUACGAUUAUAAGAGGAUGUUAUUUCAUGUCUACAUGACGUAUAUCUAUUUCCUUGGUUUGUACCUAUUACAUAGGUGAUUACUGGUUUCUUGUCUUUGGUAGGAUUUCGAUCAAUUUCGAGAGUUGAGUGGGAAAAGGAAAAUUUUUUGGAUGGCACUGUUCACUGAAUCCAACCAGAAAUCCGGCCAAGUUCUGGCCGGAUAGCUAGCCGGAUAGGUAUAGGAAUUGAAAAAAAAAUUGAUUCC
rnacentral:lncRNA from 1 species